rnacentral:rRNA from 1 species
UUAAGCGACUAAGCGUACACGGUGGAUGCCCUGGCAGUCAGAGGCGAUGAAGGACGUGCUAAUCUGCGAUAAGCGUCGGUAAGGUGAUAUGAACCGUUAUAACCGGCGAUUUCCGAAUGGGGAAACCCAGUGUGAUUCGUCACACUAUCAUUAACUGAAUCCAUAGGUUAAUGAGGCGAACCGGGGGAACUGAAACAUCUAAGUACCCCGAGGAAAAGAAAUCAACCGAGAUUCCCCCAGUAGCGGCGAGCGAACGGGGAGCAGCCCAGAGCCUGAAUCAGUGUGUGUGUUAGUGGAAGCGUCUGGAAAGGCGCGCGAUACAGGGUGACAGCCCCGUACACAAAAAUGCACAUGCUGUGAGCUCGAUGAGUAGGGCGGGACACGUGGUAUCCUGUCUGAAUAUGGGGGGACCAUCCUCCAAGGCUAAAUACUCCUGACUGACCGAUAGUGAACCAGUACCGUGAGGGAAAGGCGAAAAGAACCCCGGCGAGGGGAGUGAAAAAGAACCUGAAACCGUGUACGUACAAGCAGUGGGAGCACGCUUCGGCGUGUGACUGCGUACCUUUUGUAUAAUGGGUCAGCGACUUAUAUUCUGUAGCAAGGUUAACCGAAUAGGGGAGCCGAAGGGAAACCGAGUCUUAACUGGGCGUUAAGUUGCAGGGUAUAGACCCGAAACCCGGUGAUCUAGCCAUGGGCAGGUUGAAGGUUGGGUAACACUAACUGGAGGACCGAACCGACUAAUGUUGAAAAAUUAGCGGAUGACUUGUGGCUGGGGGUGAAAGGCCAAUCAAACCGGGAGAUAGCUGGUUCUCCCCGAAAGCUAUUUAGGUAGCGCCUCGUGAAUUCAUCUCCGGGGGUAGAGCACUGUUUCGGCAAGGGGGUCAUCCCGACUUACCAACCCGAUGCAAACUGCGAAUACCGGAGAAUGUUAUCACGGGAGACACACGGCGGGUGCUAACGUCCGUCGUGAAGAGGGAAACAACCCAGACCGCCAGCUAAGGUCCCAAAGUCAUGGUUAAGUGGGAAACGAUGUGGGAAGGCCCAGACAGCCAGGAUGUUGGCUUAGAAGCAGCCAUCAUUUAAAGAAAGCGUAAUAGCUCACUGGUCGAGUCGGCCUGCGCGGAAGAUGUAACGGGGCUAAACCAUGCACCGAAGCUGCGGCAGCGACGCUUAUGCGUUGUUGGGUAGGGGAGCGUUCUGUAAGCCUGCGAAGGUGUGCUGUGAGGCAUGCUGGAGGUAUCAGAAGUGCGAAUGCUGACAUAAGUAACGAUAAAGCGGGUGAAAAGCCCGCUCGCCGGAAGACCAAGGGUUCCUGUCCAACGUUAAUCGGGGCAGGGUGAGUCGACCCCUAAGGCGAGGCCGAAAGGCGUAGUCGAUGGGAAACAGGUUAAUAUUCCUGUACUUGGUGUUACUGCGAAGGGGGGACGGAGAAGGCUAUGUUGGCCGGGCGACGGUUGUCCCGGUUUAAGCGUGUAGGCUGGUUUUCCAGGCAAAUCCGGAAAAUCAAGGCUGAGGCGUGAUGACGAGGCACUACGGUGCUGAAGCAACAAAUGCCCUGCUUCCAGGAAAAGCCUCUAAGCAUCAGGUAACAUCAAAUCGUACCCCAAACCGACACAGGUGGUCAGGUAGAGAAUACCAAGGCGCUUGAGAGAACUCGGGUGAAGGAACUAGGCAAAAUGGUGCCGUAACUUCGGGAGAAGGCACGCUGAUAUGUAGGUGAAGUCCCUUGCGGAUGGAGCUGAAAUCAGUCGAAGAUACCAGCUGGCUGCAACUGUUUAUUAAAAACACAGCACUGUGCAAACACGAAAGUGGACGUAUACGGUGUGACGCCUGCCCGGUGCCGGAAGGUUAAUUGAUGGGGUCAGCGCAAGCGAAGCUCUUGAUCGAAGCCCCGGUAAACGGCGGCCGUAACUAUAACGGUCCUAAGGUAGCGAAAUUCCUUGUCGGGUAAGUUCCGACCUGCACGAAUGGCGUAAUGAUGGCCAGGCUGUCUCCACCCGAGACUCAGUGAAAUUGAACUCGCUGUGAAGAUGCAGUGUACCCGCGGCAAGACGGAAAGACCCCGUGAACCUUUACUAUAGCUUGACACUGAACAUUGAGCCUUGAUGUGUAGGAUAGGUGGGAGGCUUUGAAGUGUGGACGCCAGUCUGCAUGGAGCCGACCUUGAAAUACCACCCUUUAAUGUUUGAUGUUCUAACGUUGACCCGUAAUCCGGGUUGCGGACAGUGUCUGGUGGGUAGUUUGACUGGGGCGGUCUCCUCCUAAAGAGUAACGGAGGAGCACGAAGGUUGGCUAAUCCUGGUCGGACAUCAGGAGGUUAGUGCAAUGGCAUAAGCCAGCUUGACUGCGAGCGUGACGGCGCGAGCAGGUGCGAAAGCAGGUCAUAGUGAUCCGGUGGUUCUGAAUGGAAGGGCCAUCGCUCAACGGAUAAAAGGUACUCCGGGGAUAACAGGCUGAUACCGCCCAAGAGUUCAUAUCGACGGCGGUGUUUGGCACCUCGAUGUCGGCUCAUCACAUCCUGGGGCUGAAGUAGGUCCCAAGGGUAUGGCUGUUCGCCAUUUAAAGUGGUACGCGAGCUGGGUUUAGAACGUCGUGAGACAGUUCGGUCCCUAUCUGCCGUGGGCGCUGGAGAACUGAGGGGGGCUGCUCCUAGUACGAGAGGACCGGAGUGGACGCAUCACUGGUGUUCGGGUUGUCAUGCCAAUGGCACUGCCCGGUAGCUAAAUGCGGAAGAGAUAAGUGCUGAAAGCAUCUAAGCACGAAACUUGCCCCGAGAUGAGUUCUCCCUGACUCCUUGAGAGUCCUGAAGGAACGUUGAAGACGACGACGUUGAUAGGCCGGGUGUGUAAGCGCAGCGAUGCGUUGAGCUAACCGGUACUAAUGAACCGUGAGGCUUAACCUU